rnacentral:rRNA from 1 species
AUCAGAGGUGAUAGCACGUUGAGAUAACCAGUUGCCAAUGGAUCACUGGAGUUAACCAACGUUGCGCGUGGUCGGUAUCUGGAAGGAUGGCCGUCUGGGUAAUCCCGUACUGCUGUCU